CUGGAGGUUGUCUUUCUCCAGGGUUCAUAUGUUACAUACAGUGGAUUUUCACCAUUCAAUAUACAUACCAUUUGUGACUUAAGAGACGGGGGGAGAUGGUUAAGAUUUACUGUAAACGUAUAAUCCAUGUUAUUUAUUAUAUAUCAUGUAAUUAUAUUAGGCAAUGUUAUUAAAUUCGAUUUAAAGGUUUACUCGAAAGAGGAAUCA
rnacentral:misc_RNA from 1 species